CAGUAGCCGCGGGAAAACAGAGGGUGCGAGCGUUAAUCGGAUUUACUGGGCGUAAAGCGUGCGUAGGCGGCUUUUUAAGUCGGAUGUGAAAUCCCUGAGCUUAACUUAGGAAUUGCAUUCGAUACUGGGAAGCUAGAGUAUGGGAGAGGAUGGUAGAAUUCCAGGUGUAGCGGUGAAAUGCGUAGAGAUCUGGAGGAAUACCGAUGGCGAAGGCAGCCAUCUGGCCUAAUACUGACGCUGAGGUACGAAAGCAUGGGGAGCAAACAGGAUUAGAUACCCCUGUAGUCCAUGUCUCUUAUAC
rnacentral:rRNA from 1 species